CCUACGGGAGGCAGCAGUGAGGAAUAUUGGUCAAUGGGCGCGAGCCUGAACCAGCCAAGUCGCGUGAGGGAAGACGGUCCUAUGGAUUGUAAACCUCUUUUGUCGGGGAGCAAAAGACGCCACGCGUGGCGUUCCGAGAGUACCCGAAGAAAAAGCAUCGGCUAACUCCGUGCCAGCAGCCGCGGUAAUACGGAGGAUGCGAGCGUUAUCCGGAUGUAUUGGGUGAAAGGGGUGCGCAGGCGGAAGAUCAGGUCAGCGGUAAAAUUGAGAGGCUCAACCUCUUCGAGCCGUUGAAACUGGUUUUCUUGAGUGAGUGAGAAGUAUGCGGAAUGCGUGGUGUAGCGGUGAAAUGCAUAGAUAUCACGCAGAACUCCGAUUGCGAAGGCAGCAUACCGGCGCUCAACUGACGCUCAUGCACGAAAGUGUGGGUAUCGAACAGGAUUAGAUACCCUGGUAGUC
rnacentral:rRNA from 1 species